rnacentral:rRNA from 1 species
UACGUAGGGUGCAAGCAUUAUCCGGAAUUAUUGGGCGUAAAGAGCUCGUAGGCGGCUUGUCACGUCGGAUGUGAAAGCCCGGGGCUUAACUCCGGGUCUGCAUUCGAUACGGGCUAGCUAGAGUGUGGUAGGGGAGAUCGGAAUUCCUGGUGUAGCGGUGAAAUGCGCAGAUAUCAGGAGGAACACCGGUGGCGAAGGCGGAUCUCUGGGCCAUUACUGACGCUGAGGAGCGAAAGCGUGGGGAGCGAACAGG